UUGCCGUAAACAAUAAAAGUUUUGUUUUAAAAGUGUAUGAUAUUUUCUCUUUCAGAUGUUUUUAAUUGUUGAAUUCAUUGACAGCAAGGCUGUAAACAUCAUACCAGAGUCCUGGUUUGAAGACGGGAUGACAAAGUGGCCCAGCUAUAAAAGUGACAAUCGAAUAAACAGAGCAGUUAAAAAAAAUGAAGAGCCAACAGAAGAUUGGAAGUCCUAUGAUGUGCGUGUCCUCUCAAAAACAGCUUCAACACCUGUGCCUAUGAAUUUGUCCACCUUGCCUUCCAGUCCAUUGCUCCAUACGGAUUUGUGUCACAUUCGAGAUCAAAGUUAUUUCGAUCUUGAAAGUCGCUACAAGGCUACAGCGCCUCCAGUCCCUGGCGCCCCGGUCUCUCACGUGUAUGAAGCACCUGUGUACCAGAUCUCCAGGACACAUCAGGCAAAUUUCCAUCAGCAACAUGUUUUCACCCCCUCAUUUAGACUGGGGAGGACAGGCAGUGGAUCUAUACCUUGCUCUGGUGAGAGUCCUUUAAGGUUACCGGGUACCUUAACUGUAUGGAAAGUUGUACAGUUUUUUUCUAGUAUUAUCUUGAGUUGAAUAUAUAUGGAAAGAGAAAAUAGAGUAUGAAA